GAUCCGUUCGGUUUAAGUUAGUUCGUUCUCUCUUUCUCAAUUUCUAAACACCCUCCCAAAAAUAAAAAAACAAGAAUACAAAAGCAAAACAAAAAAGAAGGAGCACAUUGUAUGUUCCUCAAGGACCCACUUAAAUUUAGUUAUUUCACAUCAACAGAGAAUCUAGUUGGUGUGUGAUUAAUUAAGACUGAUUAAGAUGAUCAAAAUGAAGAGGGUGUAGCUGAGGCACAGUACAUGCCACUAGUGUGAUUCACUAGUACUUCUCUUUCAAAGUGUGAGACUUUUUCGACCCAAAGAAAAAACAAAAAGGAAAAGAAAAAGUGGGGACCUUGUGUCUACAUUUUAUACGUUGUGUGAGUGUGAACGAGUGAGUGGAGGUGUGAGAAUUAAUUUUAAGAUGCAAGAUGUGAUUGUGUGAUGUUAAGAUUUGCUCCACCUGACCUGAGAUGAUAUAAGUAAAUGGAUGGCCCAAGAAGUGACAUGCACUGGGACCCUUGGGUUGUUCAUGGAACCAGCAUUGCGACCCCACCCAGCACACUCACCCUUCAUGAUUUUGGCCCACAC
rnacentral:lncRNA from 1 species